GUGUCAGCAGCCGCGGUAACACGUAGGGGGCGAGCGUUGUCCGGAUUUAUUGGGCGUAAAGAGCUCGUAGGCGGCUCAGUAAGUCGGGUGUGAAAUUUCAGGGCUCAACCCUGAAACGCCACCCGAUACUGCUGUGGCUAGAGUCCGGUAGGGGAGCGUGGAAUUCCUGGUGUAGCGGUGAAAUGCGCAGAUAUCAGGAGGAACACCAGCGGCGAAGGCGGCGCUCUGGGCCGGAACUGACGCUGAGGAGCGAAAGCAUGGGUAGCGAACAGGAUUAGAAACCCCCGUAGUCC
rnacentral:rRNA from 1 species